rnacentral:lncRNA from 1 species
CACUUCUGUAAAAUCGCACACCACAAGUAAUUCAUCAAUCACAACUUUUCUUUCAGCCUUCAUAGAAGCUAGUGUCAUAAACGCCUCAGCAUCCUCUUUCAUGAACUCAUCUACUUGCUUAGCAGGCACAAACAACUCAUCACUAGCAUCAAACUCCAGAAACGACACUGACUUAUCAAAACACUUGAUAUGAAAUUUGAAUCUUCAUCUUUAACAAACUCACGAAACAACAUUGAUUUACCCAACAACCUGCACUCUUGUAAACA